rnacentral:rRNA from 1 species
AACGAACGCUGGCGGCAUGCCUAACACAUGCAAGUCGAACGAGACCUUCGGGUCUAGUGGCGCACGGGUGCGUAACGCGUGGGAACCUGCCCUUAGGUUCGGAAUAACUCCCCGAAAGGGGUGCUAAUACCGGAUAAUGUCUUCGGACCAAAGAUUUAUCGCCUUUGGAUGGGCCCGCGUUGGAUUAGCUAGUUGGUAGGGUAAAAGCCUACCAAGGCGACGAUCCAUAGCCGGUCUGAGAGGAUGAUCAGCCACACUGGGACUGAGACACGGCCCAGACUCCUACGGGAGGCAGCAGUGGGGAAUAUUGGACAAUGGGCGAAAGCCUGAUCCAGCAAUGCCGCGUGAGUGAUGAAGGCCUUAGGGUUGUAAAGCUCUUUUACCCGGGAUGAUAAUGACAGUACCGGGAGAAUAAGCGCCGGCUAACUCCGUG